UGGUGGAGUGAUUUUGUCUGGUUAAUUCCGAUAACGAACGAGACUCUAGCCUGCUAAAUAGUACGCACGUAUUUCAUCGCGUGCCGUACUUCUUAGAGGGAUAGGCUACUUUUAGUGGCAAGAAACUGAGCAAUAACA
rnacentral:rRNA from 1 species